UUUAUCCUGCGUUUCUCUUGACCUUACCCUGGCCUAGACUACACCCGUGAGUGGGGAAGGGUUCAUCAUUACAGGUACUGUUGGUGACUUAUGGUUCUGUUGGUGACUUUGGGUUCAGACAACAGUAUAUUCAGUUGACCUUGGGUUUUCAAGUUGGAUUUGGGUUCUGAGUUUAGACCGAAGCUUCGACUUUGUGAUCAGAGAUGCANN
rnacentral:lncRNA from 1 species